GACGAACGCUGGCGGCGUGCUUAACACAUGCAAGUCGAACGAUGAAGAAAAGACUCGAAGCUUCGGCAGAAAUUCAUUUCGGAUUAGUGGCAGACGGGUGAGUAACGCGUGAGCAACCUACCUCUUACAAAGGGAUAGCCUCGGGAAACCGGGAUUAAUACCAUAUAACAUUGCGACGAAGCAUUUCGAUGCAAUCAAAGCUACGGCGGUAAGAGAUGGGCUCGCGUCCCAUUAACCGGAUGGUGAGGUAACGGCUCACCAUAGUGACGAUGGGUAACCGGCCUGAGAGGGUGAACGGUCACACUGGAACUGAGACACGGUCCAGACUCCUACGGGAGGCAGCAGUGGGGAAUAUUGCACAAUGGAGGGAACUCUGAUGCAGCGACGCCGCGUGAGUGAUGAAGGAAUUCGUUUCGUAAAACUCUGUUCUAUGGGAAGAAAAGGACUGUACCAUAGGAGAAAGCUCCGGCUAAAUACGU
rnacentral:rRNA from 1 species